rnacentral:lncRNA from 1 species
GCCGGUGAAUGCACUGAAAAGAGAAGAGAAUUGUUCACAUCCUAGAAGCUUUUAUUUAAAUUGUUGCCCACUGGAACCUGUCUGUUUCCAGUGGGCUUUGUUGAUUGUAUGGCUUCAUUAAUUGUAUGGCUUCAUUAAUUGUAUGGCUUUCCUGGUUGUGUUUCUCCUUGUAAUGGUUAGGGGAUGCAAGUACAUAGGGCACUAGCAAGUAAAUGGAUAGCGUAGGGCACCAACCAAGUAAAUGGAUAAUGCAAGACAUUGGGGUGAAAGGGGAUACUCCAGAAAGGCUACUACAUUCACAGACACAUUUUUAGCCUGUCACUAUGUUUCCAGCCCGGGUGGCAGUUUGAUUUUGAUUUCUACAAAGGACUGGAAAGCAUAGAGGACAUCUGAACAGGGGAAAAAAAAAAAACAAAAAAACUUGAAUAUGGGACAAAAGUGGCUCUUUCAAUACAAGUCUGCAUUAGGGGUCUUUAUUUCAGGUCUGAAACAAGUAAGGUCAGGGUGGAGACGGUCAGUGGAGAUGAGAGAAAUGAAUCAUAUAUCAGCAAACGCUUCUGAAGGAGCUCGGCUGCUAAACCCCACAGCUGGUUUCCAGGCGAGGCCUACUCGCCCUGGGCCAGCAGUGACUGCAGGCAGUUACCCUCAUGCACCAGGGUACACCUGCAACCACCCAGGCCUGGUGUGGUGGUGUCUGGAGGCUAUGAAAAGAAAUUGCCCUUUCCCCAAGGACGUGGUUUGUCCCAGAGCAUGGCCUGAUGUAUGGUGUGGGAGAAUGGCCCAGCUGGGCAGUGUAGGAUGGCCGCGUAGGGUGGAGGGAGCAGAGAUGGGAAUUGCCCUGUCACUGAGGUCUGCAGGACGCACUCUGGGACUGAAUCCUGGGAGCUGCACUCGGAUUUUGUCUCUGGGAUACCUGGUACAUUCCCUUCAAGAAAGUCAAGGAGCAAAUCAGCAAAAGGACCACGAAGCAUUACCAGCCAGAAGUUUACCAGCAGUGUGCUCUCAGUGA